rnacentral:rRNA from 1 species
GCGAAAAUACCAGCACUAAUGCACCGGAUCCCAUCAGAACUCCGCAGU